ensembl:lncRNA
GAGGCAAUCAGUUUGUACUCUGAUCUGUACUGAGAUUUGGUAAAUUACUUUGUGAGAAAAAUCAGCACAUCAAGUUGCCAUGGCUAUGUGGAAGAGGUGUUUUGAUGCCUGCUGCAAGCCUUGGGACGGAGUUCGAACAACAGCACUAAUGUCCUUAUUCUCUUUUUCUGUGUUCUCUUUCACCAAGUGUUCAGCAGAGGUAUUUUUGGCCGCAGGAAGUUUCUCCUCAGACCUCUUCUUUGGGGAUUUCACACCAGAACCAUUCCUCGACAAUGAAGAGUCUGUUUCCUUCACAUGAUUCCCCCUUGGUCCAGGAGCAGAACUAGCACUCGCCUUGGGCUGAGAGGCAGACUCGUUUGGGUCUGAUUUGCCUGCUUUGUUGUGUUCAAAUAUUGUUGCGCAUACUUACUGAUUUGAUUUAAAUUACUUGUCAUUUUAAAGACAAUUGUUUUGUUUUGUUUUGUUUUGUUCUGUUUUUUUUUUAUAUCACUUUAAGAGAAAGAGAGAGUCCUUUUACCACCUGAAGUUGAACAUUGGUUUCAAUUGGCGUUCCUCUCUCUCUCAGAUAGUGUUUAGUUUGAUCUAUUUUGUUUCUUUACUCUUUUAUUUGUUAACUAAGGUUAUGAUGGUAAUUUUUUUGUUUCAAAAGAUUGGUGGAGACUCGGUCUGAGAUAUGAUCAGUCAAGAAACAGGUUUAAUCUUGUACAGUGAUGCGCAUCAAUGAGGAUAGACAGAGGUUUCACUCAAAAGCUUCACCUAUGUCUAAUCUAGUCAGCCAUUGUAACAUUUCAGUUCUUAUAUCCUUCAUAGCAUAAGGGGUGUCACCCCAAAGCCCCAGCCCUCCAUGAAUAUGUGUCAGUUUACUACCUCUGACGCGGGAAAACUCCACAACAUUUGUCCACAGGGGAAAUCCAGAUGUGAGCAAAUGUCUCAGAGGCCUGCAUUCAUUAAGGCAAAGGAUAUCCGACACUUUGAUAUGACCAAGAGAAGGGGAGAGGUGAGAACACUCAUUUACACCUCUCUCAGGUCAUUCCAUUUACUAGUAUAUUCA